rnacentral:rRNA from 1 species
UACGUAGGAUCCAAGCGUUGUCCGGAUUUACUGGGUGUAAAGGGUGCGCAGGCGGACUUGUUAGUCAGAGGUGAAAUCUCACGGCUCAACCGUGAAACUGCCUUUGAUACUGCAGGUCUUGAAUUGGGGAGAGAGUUGUGGAAUUCCGAGUGUAGCAGUGAAAUGUGUAGAUAUUCGGAAGAACACCAGUGGCGAAGGCAGCAACUUGGCCCUAUAUUGACGCUCAGGCACGAAAGCAUGGGGAUCAAAC